rnacentral:rRNA from 1 species
AACGAACGCUGGCGGCAUGCCUAACACAUGCAAGUCGAACGAGACCUUCGGGUCUAGUGGCGCACGGGUGCGUAACGCGUGGUAACCUGCCCUUAGGUUCGGUAUAACUCCCCGAGAGGGGUGCUAAUACCGGAUAAUGUCUUCGGGCCUAAGAUGUAUCGCCUUUGGAUGGGCCCGCGUUGGAUUAGCUGGUUGGUAGUGUAAAAGCCUACCAAGGCGAGGAUCCAUAGCUGGUCUGAUAGCAGGACACGCAGGACUGGGGCUGAGACACGGCCCAGACUCCGACGGGAGGGAGGAGUGGGUAAUACUAGACAAUGGGCGAAAGUCUGAUACAGCAAUGUCGCGUGAGUGAGGAAGGCCUUAGGGUUGUAAAGCCCUUUUACCCGGGAUGAUAAUGACAGUACCGGGAGAAGAAGCACCGGCUAACUCCGUG